UACGUAGGGUGCAAGCGUUAAUCGGAAUUACUGGGCGUAAAGCGUGCGCAGGCGGUUUUGUAAGUCUGUCGUGAAAUCCCCGGGCUCAACCUGGGAAUUGCGAUGGAGACUGCAAGGCUAGAAUCUGGCAGAGGGGGGUAGAAUUCCACGUGUGAGCAGUGAAAUGCGUAGAGAUGUGGAGGAACACCGAUGGCGAAGGCAGCCCCCUGGGUCAAGAUUGACGCUCAUGCACGAAAGCGUGGGGAGCAAACG
rnacentral:rRNA from 1 species